AGAGUUUGAUCAUGGCUCAGGACGAACGGACGAACGCUGGCGGCGUGCCUAAUACAUGCAAGUCGAGCGAAUGGAUGGGAGCUUGCUCCCUGAAGUUAGCGGCGGACGGGUGAGUAACACGUGGGCAACCUGGCCUAUAAGACUGGGAUAACUUCGGGAAACCGGAGCUAAUACCGGAUACGUUCUUUUCUCGCAUGAGAGAAGAUGGAAAGACGGUUUACGCUGUCACUUAUAGAUGGGCCCGCGGCGCAUUAGCUAGUUGGUGAGGUAAUGGCUCACCAAGGCGACGAUGCGUAGCCGACCUGAGAGGGUGAUCGGCCACACUGGGACUGAGACACGGCCCAGACUCCUACGGGAGGCAGCAGUAGGGAAUCUUCCGCAAUGGACGAAAGUCUGACGGAGCAACGCCGCGUGAACGAAGAAGGCCUUCGGGUCGUAAAGUUCUGUUGUUAGGGAAGAACAAGUACCAGAGUAACUGCUGGUACCUUGACGGUACCUAACCAGAAAGCCACGGCUAACUACGUGCCAGCAGCCGCGGUAAUACGUAGGUGGCAAGCGUUGUCCGGAAUUAUUGGGCGUAAAGCGCGCGCAGGUGGUUCCUUAAGUCUGAUGUGAAAGCCCCCGGCUCAACCGGGGAGGGUCAUUGGAAACUGGGGAACUUGAGUGCAGAAGAGGAUAGUGGAAUUCCAAGUGUAGCGGUGAAAUGCGUAGAGAUUUGGAGGAACACCAGUGGCGAAGGCGACUGUCUGGUCUGUAACUGACACUGAGGCGCGAAAGCGUGGGGAGCAAACAGGAUUAGAUACCCUGGUAGUCCACGCCGUAAACGAUGAGUGCUAAGUGUUGGGGGGUUUCCGCCCCUCAGUGCUGCAGCUAACGCAUUAAGCACUCCGCCUGGGGAGUACGGCCGCAAGGCUGAAACUCAAAGGAAUUGACGGGGGCCCGCACAAGCGGUGGAGCAUGUGGUUAAAUUGGAAGCAACGUGAAGACCCUUUCCAGGUCUUGACAUCCUCUGACAACCCUAGAGAUAGGGCGUUCCCCUUCGGGGGACAGAGUGACAGGUGGUGCAUGGUUGUCGUCAGCUCGUGUCGUGAGAUGUUGGUUUAAGUCCCGCAACGAGCGCAACCCUUGAUCUUAGUUGCCAGCAUUCAGUUGGGCACUCUAAGGUGACUGCCGGUGACAAACCGGAGGAAGGUGGGGAUGACGUCAAAUCAUCAUGCCCCUUAUGACCUGGGCUACACACGUGCUACAAUGGAUGGAACAAAGGGCAGCGAACCUGCGAAGGUAAGCCAAUCCCAUAAAUCCAUUCUCAGUUCGGAUUGCAGGCUGCAACUCGCCUGCAUGAAGCCGGAAUCGCUAGUAAUCGCGGAUCAGCAUGCCGCGGUGAAUACGUUCCCGGGCCUUGUACACACCGCCCGUCACACCACGAGAGUUUGUAACACCCGAAGUCGGUGGGGUAACCUUUAUGGAGCCAGCCGCCUAAGGUGGGACAGAUGAUUGGGGUGAAGUCGUAACAAGGUAACCGUA
rnacentral:rRNA from 1 species